rnacentral:rRNA from 1 species
UGAGGCGAACCGGGGGAACUGAAACAUCUAAGUACCCCGAGGAAAAGAAAUCAACCGAGAUUCCCCCAGUAGCGGCGAGCGAACGGGGAGCAGCCCAGAGCCUGAAUCAGUGUGUGUGUUAGUGGAAGCGUCUGGAAAGGCGCGCGAUACAGGGUGACAGCCCCGUACACAAAAAUGCACAUAUUGUGAGCUCGAUGAGUAGGGCGGGACACGUGGUAUCCUG